rnacentral:rRNA from 1 species
GAUGAACGCUGGCUACAGGCUUAACACAUGCAAGUCGAGGGGAAACGACGGGGAAGCUUGCUUCCCCGGGCGUCGACCGGCGCACGGGUGAGUAACGCGUAUCCAACCUGCCUCUGACUGAGGGAUAACUCGUCGAAAGUCGGCCUAAUACCUCAUGGUAUCGUCUGCGGGCAUCCAACGACGAUUAAAGAUUUCAUCGGUCAGGGAUGGGGAUGCGUCUGAUUAGCUUGUUGGCGGGGUAACGGCCCACCAAGGCUACGAUCAGUAGGGGUUCUGAGAGGAAGGUCCCCCACAUUGGAACUGAGACACGGUCCAAACUCCUACGGGAGGCAGCAGUGAGGAAUAUUGGUCAAUGGGCGAGAGCCUGAACCAGCCAAGUAGCGUGCAGGAAGACGGCCCUAUGGGUUGUAAACUGCUUUUAUGCGGGGAUAAAGUGAGGGACGUGUCCCUCAUUGCAGGUACCGCAUGAAUAAGGACCGGCUAAUUCCGUG